rnacentral:rRNA from 1 species
UGGGGAAUAUUGCACAAUGGAGGGAACUCUGAUGCAUCGACGCCGCGUGAGUGAUGAAGGAAUUCGUUUCGUAAAACUCUGUUCUAUGGGAAGAAAAGGACUGUACCAUAGGAGAAAGCUCCGGCUAAAUACGUGCCAGCAGCCGCGGUAAUACGUAUGGAGCGAGCGUUGUCCGGAAUUAUUGGGCGUAAAGGGUGCGCAGGCGGCUUUACAAGUUGGAUGUGAAAUAUUGUGGCUCAACCACAAACGUGCAUCCAAAACUGCAAAGCUUGAGUUAAGGAGAGGUAAGUGGAAUUCCUGGUGUAGCGGUGGAAUGCGUAGAUAUCAGGAGGAAUACCGGUGGCGAAGGCGACUUACUGGACUUAAACUGACGCUCAGGCACGAAAGCGUGGGGAGCAAACAGG